rnacentral:lncRNA from 1 species
UUUAAUAAUUCACUACAGUCUUUGGCCCAUUAUCUACCAAUAUGGGAAAAAUACCAAAGGCGUGUCUUAUUGAUGGUGAAUAGUGACAAACUGCAUUUUUAUAUAGUGACACAACUCUCACACAUGCUUUUUGAUCCUGGCAACCACUUUUGACAAAGCCAGAGCAAGUGGCGUUGUUUCCAGUGUGAGAAAACUGAAGUGAAACGGUGAAUUGGCUUAUGCAGGUCUCAUGGCUGGAAGGAUGAGGAGUAGAACACAGAUCUCCUGGCCCCUUUUCUCGUUCUUCUUCUACUGUCCCACACUGUGUCUUUUUCUAUCGGAAAGGCAAGGCGUCCCCAAAUUUUAUGAGGUCCCAUACUCUACACAGAGCAAGUCAAACAGGUAACAGGGUAACUACUAAGCCUCCACUUCUCUUGAUGAUAUGAUGUUUCAUGUUACCUCUGGCAUCUUGGACAAGCCACUGAUGGCCUUGAUGUUACCGAUAAAAGGAACCAGGAAGAUCACACUUGCCUAAAAGCAGGAGCUUAGUUUAUCCCCAGUGGAUUCCUUGAUUGUAUGUCUUGAGGAUUUUCUUCAGAGUUGACUGCUGUGACUGACACUUUCUUUUUCCAUGAAACAGCACAAUAAAUUGAUGAGUCUGGCGAUGAUAAAUAGAAGU